UUGUAAUAAUAAUCAUGUGAUAAUUAACGACCGAGUAUCAAAGCUUAAAAUGUGCGGAAAGAGACCCUGUGAGACCUGACAGCCGGCUGCUGUCCGCUCCCACAAAAAUCUACCAGAGCAAACAAGAUCGAGA